CGUGUAGGUGGUCAGGUAAGUCGAGAUGUGAAAGCCUUCUGCUUAACAGAAGAAGUGCAUUUGAAACUGCUUGGCUAGAGUACGGGAGAGGAGAGUGGAAUUCCCGGUGUAGAGGUGAAAUUCGUAGAUAUCGGGAGGAACACCAGUGGCGAAGGCGGCUCUCUGGUCCGAUACUGACGCUGAGACGCGAAAGCGUGGGGAGCAAACAGGAUUAGAUACCCUGGUAGUCCACGCCGUAAACGAUGGGCACUAGGUGUAGGAGGUAUUGACCCCUUCUGUGCCGAAGCUAACGCAUUAAGUGCCCCGCCUGGGGAGUACGGCCGCAAGGCUAAA
rnacentral:rRNA from 1 species